GACGAACGCUGGCGGCGUGCUUAACACAUGCAAGUCGAACGGAUUCCUUUCGGGUAGCAAUACCUGGGAGGGGUUAGUGGCGAACGGGUGAGUAACACGUGAGAAACCUGCCUCGAAGACGGGGAUAACAGUCGGAAACGACUGCUAAUACCCGAUGCCUUCACCGGACCGCAUGGCCUGGUGAAGAAAUGGAUUCCGCUUCGAGAGGGUCUCGCGGGCUAUCAGCUUGUUGGUGAGGUAACGGCUCACCAAGGCGGCGACGGCUAGCUGGUCUGAGAGGACGACCAGCCACACUGGGACUGAGACACGGCCCAGACUCCUACGGGAGGCAGCAGUGGGGAAUCUUGCGCAAUGGGCGAAAGCCUGACGCAGCAACGCCGCGUGGGGGACGAAGGCUUUCGGGUUGUAAACCCCUUUCAGCAGGAACGAAAUUGACGGUACCUGCAGAAGAAGCCCCCGGCUAACUACGUGCCAGCAGCCGCGGUAAU
rnacentral:rRNA from 1 species